GCAGUCGAGCGGUAACAGAUCUAGCUUGCUGGAUGCUGACGAGCGGCGGACGGGUGAGUAAUGCAUAGGAAUCUGCCCGAUAGUGGGGGAUAACCUGGGGAAACCCAGGCUAAUACCGCAUACGUCCUACGGGAGAAAGGGGGCUCCGGCUCCCGCUAUGGGAUGAGCCUAUGUCGGAUUAGCUAGUUGGUGAGGUAACGGCUCACCAAGGCGACGAUCCGUAGCUGGUCUGAGAGGAUGAUCAGCCACAUCGGGACUGAGACACGGCCCGAACUCCUACGGGAGGCAGCAGUGGGGAAUAUUGGACAAUGGGGGAAACCCUGAUCCAGCCAUGCCGCGUGUGUGAAGAAGGCCCUCGGGUUGUAAAGCACUUUCAGCGAGGAAGAACGCCUAGCGGUUAAUACCCGCUAGGAAAGACAUCACUCGCAGAAGAAGCACCGGCUAACUCCGUGCCAGCAGCCGCGGUAAUACGGAGGGUGCAAGCGUUAAUCGGAAUUACUGGGCGUAAAGCGCGCGUAGGUGGCUUGAUAAGCCGGUUGUGAAAGCCCCGGGCUCAACCUGGGAACGGCAUCCGGAACUGUCAAGCUAGAGUGCAGGAGAGGAAGGUAGAAUUCCCGGUGUAGCGGUGAAAUGCGGUAGAGAUCGGGAGGAAUACCAGUGG
rnacentral:rRNA from 1 species